UAUUAUAAGCAACAGAGAUUCGUGAAUGAGACUGGGGAUGCAGUAAAGGGGUUCUCUGACCAAUUAUCCGCCACCUCCCUCAUGGCCUGGUAAAAUAGACUGACUCUCGAUAUGUAAAUUGGCAGAAAAGGGCAGGGUAUGUAGAAUGAUUGGGGUUCAUUGCUGUACGUUUAUUAUUUAAAUAACACCGCUCCAGAUGGAUCAGUGACCAAGGCUCUGGCAGAGAACUAUGGGGUGGAUAAUUCUCUUACAAAUUGAUUUGACAGUAUGUUUGGGAAAUGGAAAAUUGUCAUAAUCACUGUGUUGUGGGCCACUUUCACCUGUAUGAGUGCUUUGGUUCCGUGUGAAUGCUGUUUGAUUCUGGGUGUGAAAGGUCUCAUUUCCAGGACUCUGGAGAAAUCGAUGACGCAACAGACGGUGAGAUACGGACCGAUUCAGAGCUCUGAGAAAGUCUCUCCAGAGAUGUUCGAUCGGGUUCAAGUCUGGGCUCUGGCUGGGCCACUCAAGGACAUUCAGUGACCACUCCUGCGUUGUCUUGGCUGUGUGAUUAGGGUUGUUGUCCUGUUGGAAGGUGAACCUUCACCCCAGUCUGAGAUCCUGAGCAGUCUGGAGCAGGUUUUCAUCAAGGAUCUCUCUGUACUUUGCUCCGUUCAUCUUUGCCUUGAUCCUGAUUAGUCUCCCAGUCCCUGCCGCUGAUAAACAUCCCCACAACAUGAUGAUGCCACCACCAUCCUUCACCGUAGGGAUGGUGCCAUGUUUCCUCCAGACAUGACGCUUUGCAUUCAGGCCAAAGAGUUCAAUCUUGGUUUCAUCAGACCAGAGAAUCUUGUUUCUCAUGGUCUGAGAGUUCUUUAGGUGCCUUUUGGCAAACUCCAAGCGGGCUGUCAUGUGCCUUUUACUGAGGAGUGGCUUCUGUCGGUCCACUACCAUUAACACCUGAUUGGUGGAGUGCUGCAGAGAUGGUUGUCCUUCUGGAAGGUUCUCCCAUCUCCACAGAGGAGUUCUAGAGCUCUCUCAGAAUGACCAUUGGGUUCUUUGUCACCUACGUGACCAAGGCUCUUCUCCACCGAUUGCUCAGUUAGGCUGGGCGACAAGCUCUAGGAAGAGUAUUGGUGGUUCCAAACUUCUUCCAUUUAAGAAUGAUGGAGGCCACCGUGUUCUUAUGGAUCUUCAAUGCCACAGACAUUUUUUGGUACCCUUCCCCAGAUCUGUGCCUCGACACAAUCCUGUCUAGGAGCUCUACAGACAAUUCCUUCGACUUCAUGGCUUGGUUUUUGCUCUGACAUGCACUGUCAACUGUGGGACCUUAUAUAGACAGGGGAGUGCCUUUCCAAAUCAUGUCCAAUCAAUUGAAUUUAACACAGGUGAACUCCAAUCAAGUUGUAGAAACAUCUCAAGGAUGAUCAAUGGAAACAGGAUGCACCUAAGCUCAAUUUUGAGUCUUAUAGUAAAAGGUCUGAAUACUUAUGUAAAUAAGGUAUUUCUCAAAACCUGUUUUUGCUAUGUCAUUAUGGGGUAUUGUGCGUAGAUUGCUGAGGGAAAUGUUUUAUUUAAUACAUUUACAGUAAGGCUGUAACGUAACAAAAUGUGGAAAAAGUCAAGGGGUCUGAAUACUUUCUGAAGGCACUGUAUAUCUGCCGUUUCCAUUAUCCAUGUCGCAAUUAAUUUCUUUGCUACAUUUCUUUUGUAGAACAAACCUGGGUCAAUGGAAUCUUGCCUAAUGGCUUGAAUCUAGGUUGUGCCUUUAGAAAAAUGAACAACUAAGGAAGAAUUCUUCACUUCUUUCAUUGACUUCUCAAACCCCAAACCCUUUGGUCUUUUUGGUCUGUUUGCAUGCAUUCCCUGAAGUCUUGUGUUGGUGCUUACUUAGAAACUCUGUGGUUUGUGCAUUUCAGUUGGUCAUGACAUGCGUGGCCCGAUUAGCCUACAGGGGGUGGAAACUGUGGUUGGACAGCAUUGGAGCAUUGUCGUGUCAGCAGGCCUAUAAAUAUCACUUAUUUGGUCAACCACA